CCUACGGGAGGCAGCAGUGGGGAAUAUUGGGCAAUGGGCGAAAGCCUGACCCAGCAAUGCCGCGUGAAUGAAGAAGGUCUUAGGAUUGUAAAAUUCUGUCCUAUGAGAAGAAAAAAUGACGGUACCAUAGGAGGAAGCCCCGGCUAACUACGUGCCAGCAGCCGCGGUAAUACGUAUGGUGCAAGCGUUAUCCGGAUUUACUGGGUGUAAAGGGAGCGCAGGCGGCACGGCAAGCCUGAUGUGAAAGCCCGCGGCCCAACCGCGGGACUGCAUUGGGAACUACCGGGCUGGAGUGCCGGAGAGGUAGGCGGAAGUCCUAGUGUAGCGGUGAAAUGCGUAGAUAUUAGGAGGAACACCAGUGGCGAAGGCGGCCUACUGGACGGUGACUGACGCUGAGGCUCGAAAGCGUGGGGAGCAAACAGGAUUAGAUACCCCAGUAGUC
rnacentral:rRNA from 1 species